GAAUAACAGAGAACCCUGCAAAGUGUCUUAAUUUACUGGAGUUUCUAUUUAAAAUUGCUUAGGUUUCCUGGAACCUACAAUUCAAUCGAAGAAUCAAAUGUAAAUCAAGAUAAAGUUUAUCUAAAAUACAAUUUUUCGAUAUUAGGGUACUCCACAAUGUGAAGAUAUGUCAGUACCCAAUUGUGAGUCAGUCUUUAUGCAAAGUUAUAUGGAUAACACUUCAGGCGAUAAUUCUGAAAAACCGAUAGCUGAACAAUAUCAUACGACAUCGUUGUUGACUUAAGACCAACAAAAUUUCCGUAUUAUCUCGUGGGAGAACCUGCAGUAACUUAAUAAAUCACAGAUUAAUGUAUGACGAUAUCAGAAGGUGCAUGAUAUAAUGCAAAUCGAAAAUUUCGACAGGCGCUACAUAUGUGGCGUUCUGAAUGCAACGCCAUCGCCUCAAUGAGCAUUUAUCGAGAUACGCAACAGAGAAAUUACCGGUGAUAAGGAAUUUUUAUACAUCAUCUGCGUUCUCUGUCGCAGGCAUCUAAAUGCUGCUCCUGGCAAGAUAAGACGCUAUCGAAGCCAGUACAGCUUAUAGAUUUUCAUUGGAACUUGCCAAACUCUGCAGAAAGCUGUCACGUUUCAGCCGCAGCGAAAGCUUAAUAAAUAAUUGGCAGGAAAUUUUUUUUCUGGGACCUGUGCCUUGGGAAACAAUCUCUUCAUCUAUCCCAUAUACAUAAAAUUAUAGUUUUGGUAUUUUCAGUUUCUUUACUGUCCGUUUAGAGAAAAGCCAGCAUGGCAAUAUUUUUAUCCGUAAAUUCAUUCCACGGAUAUAGGGGAGAUUUCACGGGAGAAAUAGGUGAAUAAGACGCCGCGUUACGAGCACAUAUAUACACCACCUACGAGUUUGCAUCGAGAUCUAUGUGCAUUUCCGGCGGUUUACCGUUAUGUGCAUAUAUAGCUAGGAAUUGGACCACAAAGUAGAUAAUAUUGCUCCUCUAGACUGUGCGCAUCACGUUUCGCUUCAGACCACACAAAAAUCAUCCUUCUUGAUGAAUUUUACAAUGCAAAUACUCAUCGGCAAUCUCUUCAUUAUACCUACAAAAAGCAAUGUAUCAUGAGAGAGAAAAUUGUGUAGAGAAGAGACAAAAAUAAAUUACGACUACGAAACUAUUAUAUUCUCUUGUAUCCUUGCAAUUAAACGACCUGAUUCGUUGAUAAAUAACAAAAUUACAAUACUAUUACGAUAUAACUUAUAAAAGAUUUGGUUUCUUAUUUUUAGAGUUGUAUUCUAACAAUAAGAAUAUUAAUUAUUCUAACUUCUAUCUCCUCCGGCCUUCCCAGCUGUGCAGAAUUGAAUAGAUAGUUUCUGUAAUACGUACACCGGUCAAGGAAAUAAGUAUUGCAAUCAGUAAAUACGUAACAUAGCGUUGCGUCCUUAAUAGGUUUCCAAGAAGCGUGAAAUUCCCGCGCGUUGGCCUUUUACUUAAACGACUAUCUCAUUUUUCCUCUUUUUACACAUAACUGCCUAUUUUUUGCUUUCGAACGUCCACCGAUGCAUUUUUUUCCAAUGUCAAGAACAUUUUUCAAUACACAAUUUCCUUUCUAGAUUAUUUCAUGCUUUA
rnacentral:lncRNA from 1 species